GGAGCCACAUGCUAUAUCCGGUUUGGAGCUGCACUCCUGGAUCUGAGAUCUACAAGAAGAGGCAGAAUAACACAGAGUCAACACACAGUUGUCUCCUGUAGGUCCUUGAAAGAUGGAUUUGUGCAGUUUGCCCUGAAGAGAAGAACAAAUGAUGGAGAAAACAUGAUUUUAGGAUCAACUGUCCCACUGUUGAUGAGUUAUAAAAGCUGUCCAGUGCCUGGAGAGUCUUACCACUGCUGCUCUCCUUUCCACACCAGGUCAAGCCGUCCAGGACAGAUCCCAGCAGAGAGUCCUCCAGGGCAGGUUGGAAGGGAGCUGAGGCAAUGAGAGGGUCAUAUGCUUCCGUGGGAACUUUGCAUGGGUCUUUCCCUACAUAGGCUUGUUCAAAGACCUUCCAUAUCUUUUGACAGUCGUAGGAAUGUGGAUCGAGUGUAUCACCAAACUGGUGCAGGCUGUCGAGAUUACAGAUUUUUCCAGAAUCGGACCAUGUGAGGGUCCUCAUGAUGAAGUUAAAGACAAGUGUAAACACAUGCAGAGGGAUUUUUCACAACCUGGCAACCCCAAAGGAUCUACCGGGGUCCUGCUCUUGUCCACACCAGAUGAGGUCAUUGAACAUGAAGCCGACCAGUGUGUCCUCCAGAGUCCAGAAGUGACGACCAACAGCUGCGUAGCUGUGCAUCAAUGCCCUGGUUUUACUCCAG